UGCCUAAACCUCACCAGGCCGUGGGGCAUGGCAUAAAAAUCCCGCUACAGGAUAGAGAGCUCGUCGUCAGCUCACCUGUAGCGGGUCAUAUCCGAAAGGAUAUGGGUGGCCGAAAGGUCAUC
rnacentral:sRNA from 1 species